AUACGGAGGGUGCGAGCGUUAAUCGGAAUUACUGGGCGUAAAGCGUGCGUAGGCGGUUUGUUAAGUCAGAAGUGAAAGCCCUGGGCUCAACCUGGGAACGGCUUUUGAGACUGGCAGACUCGAGUUGAGUAGAGGGGAGUGGAAUUUCCGGUGUAGCGGUGAAAUGCGUAGAGAUCGGAAGGAACACCAGUGGCGAGGGCGACUCCCUGGACUCAAACUGACGCUGAGGUACGAAAGCGUGGGUAGCAAACAGGAUUAGAUACCCUUGUAGUCC
rnacentral:rRNA from 1 species